rnacentral:rRNA from 1 species
AUUGAACGCUGGCGGCAAGCCUAACACAUGCAAGUAGAACGAGUGGCGGACGGGUGAGUAAUGUCUGGGAAACUGCCUGAUGGAGGGGGAUCACUACUGGAAACGGUAGCUAAUACCGCAAACCAUCGGAUGUGCCCAGAUGGGAUUAGCUAGUAGGUGGGGUAAAGGCUCACCUAGGCGACGAUCCCUAGCUGGUCUGAGAGGAAGACAAGCCACACUGGAACUGAGUAACGGUCCAGACUCCUACGGGAGGCAGCAGUGGGGAAUAUUGGACAAUGGGCGCAAGCCUGAUGCAGCCAUGCCGCGUGUAUGAAGAAGGCCUUCGGGUUGUAAAGUACUUUCAUCGGGGAGGCGUUACCCGCAGAAGAAACACCGGCUAACUCCGUGCCAGCAGCCGCGGUAAUUC